GCGGCCAUGGCGGAACUGGUAGACGCGCAACGUUGAGGGCGUUGUGGGAGAAAUCCCGUGGAGGUUCAAGUCCUCUUGGCCGCACCA
rnacentral:tRNA from 2 species